CUUGUAACCCCAGUUCUCAAGACCCCUCAGUGGUACUAUUCCUUCCACUAAAACUGCCUGCCCCCCCUCCCCCACACCUCAUAAAACUGCUAGUUUUCCUGACCGAUUUUCAAAAACCUUGAGAAGAGUUUGUCUGUACACUGGGAAGAAAGCCCAUCCGGAAGAUAAGUUGAAGGAGGGAAAGUACAGGGAGUUUCAAAAGUAUCCUUAUGGUCGCACGCAGCCUGAUAGUCAUGGGUUUUCUGGAUCAGGGGGGUCUUGAGGGGUGCAUAAUGUCGACAAGACUGUGAACGUCACAACUCUCCUCUUCUAUGGGAUUGGACAGCAGGGAGGAGGAGAAUCUUGCGUCUGGAUUAUUAUAAAAGUCUGUGAUUGUACUUAGAAGAAGAGAGGACAUUUUUGCCCCAGGCAAGUGACUUGUGGGGGCAGAAUCCCUUUUCCUUUCCCUCCCCCUUCUCCUCCUCCCUGCUGUCUGCUGUUUUCUCUGAAUAAAGCUGCUUUCUCUGCUAGCUUCUUAUCAAGUCCUCUGUCUGUUCAUUAGAGUGAUUUCUGGGGGCACGAGCCUUCCCAAAAUUCCACUCCAUACAGAUGGGGGCAUGCCCAGGAUUCUAGGAUGCUAGGAGUGCCUCAGUUUACCCAUCUGGACAAAUCUGAGUCCUUCUGUAUGCUUCUAAAAAGCCCCUUCGAUCAAGAGAGCAGAUAGGGAAUGACCGAUGCAAGAGAAGAGACCAGAGCCAACACUUCUAACGUGGACACCAUUGAUUUUGCAAACUGAGGCAUCACUUAUUGGAGAUGGUCACAAAAUGAUCUGCCAGGAUUCCUUCCUUGCUGCUCCAUGUCAGGGUAUUUUGACAUGCUUGAACUGGCUGGCCCUUAUUUUUACAAUCCAGAAGUGAGCACGGGCUUAGCAGCAAACACAUGCCUGAUACCCACCGUCAGAGUGAGAGAACGAGCCUGCUUGGGGUGUUGGCUAAGGUUUCACCAAAGAAUCGAGUUCUAGCUGAAGUUCAUAGCACUGCAAUUUCCACCAAAGGCCUUGGUUGCAAGAACUUUUUGCUCCCUCAUUUAACAACUUCAUCCCUGACUCCUUGGAGUGGAUAUCUGGUCUUGGACUUCAUUCGACUGAGUUUUAGACUUAUCUGUGGAUGGCAGUGGAUCGGUAGUCACAGAACUCUGGGGAAACCCUGGCUCUGUUGAUUCACUCCCUGAUUCUGGGCUUCAAUUUCCUGAUGUGAAUAUGUGGGUCUUGUAUUAAACCAGGAGUUCUUUACCUUUCUUUGUGGUAUGGACCUCCUUGGGCACUUUGGUCAAGUUUAGGAAGACCCCUUCUCAGAAUCAUGGUUUUAAAUGUACAAAACGAAAUCCCUGGGAUUCCAAGGAAUUCUAUUGAAAUAUGGUGUCAAAAUAAAUGGUUGUUUAAAAAAAAAAAGGCAUGGACCCUAGAUUAAGAA